rnacentral:rRNA from 1 species
CUACGGAGGAUGCGAGCGUUAUCCGGAUUUAUUGGGUUUAAAGGGAGCGUAGGUGGGAUAUUAAGUCAGCUGUGAAAGUUUGGGGCUCAACCUUAAAAUUGCAGUUGAUACUGGUUUCCUUGAGUACGGUACAGGUGGGCGGAAUUCGUGGUGUAGCGGUGAAAUGCUUAGAUAUCACGAAGAACUCCGAUCGCGAAGGCAGCUCACCGGGCCGGAACUGACACUGAUGCUCGAAAGUGCGGGUAUCAAACAGGAUUAGAUACCCUGGUAGUCCGCACAGUAAACGAUGAAUACUCGCUGUUUGCGAUACACGGUAAGCGGCCAGGCGAAAGCGUUAAGUAUUCCACCUGGGGAGUACGCCGGCAACGGUGAAACUCAAAGGAAUUGACGGGG